rnacentral:rRNA from 1 species
GUGGGGAAUAUUGCACAAUGGGCGCAAGCCUGAUGCAGCAACGCCGCGUGAGGGACGACGGCCUUCGGGUUGUAAACCUCUUUUAGCAGGGAAGAAGCGAAAGUGACGGUACCUGCAGAAAAAGCACCGGCUAACUACGUGCCAGCAGCCGCGGUAAUACGUAGGGUGCAAGCGUUGUCCGGAAUUAUUGGGCGUAAAGAGCUCGUAGGCGGUUUGUCGCGUCUGCUGUGAAAACCCGAGGCUCAACCUCGGGCCUGCAGUGGGUACGGGCAGACUAGAGUGCGGUAGGGGAGAUUGGAAUUCCUGGUGUAGCGGUGGAAUGCGCAGAUAUCAGGAGGAACACCGAUGGCGAAGGCAGAUCUCUGGGCCGUAACUGACGCUGAGGAGCGAAAGCAUGGGGAGCGAACAGGAUUAGAAACCCGAGUAGUCC